rnacentral:rRNA from 1 species
AGUCAUAUGCUUGUGUUAAAGAUUAAGCCAUGCAUGCCUAAGUAUAAACUGUACUAACGGUAAAACUGCGGACGGCUCCAUAGAUCAGUUAUUGUUCGUUUGGUGAACAAAGUACUUGGAUAACCCUGUUAAUUGUAGAGCUAAUACAUGCACCGACAACCCAGCGGGAGACCUAAGGGUUGCACUUGUCCAAACUUAACAGCCUUGGGAAUUAUUUGCUGUCGGACGAGACCGGGGAGGGACUAAAGUGGGUACCUGAGAAAGAAUCACAUAUAUAAAAUUUGGGAGGAAGCAAAAAGCCAACACGGCUAAGACCUAAGUGGAAAUAUGUGGGACCUUGGCUGAUGGCCUUCUUUAGGCAACUAAAGGGGGGCGCCCAUUGUUAUAAAACCUCAGGUUACUGGCCUUAGAACUGUUAAUCCGGUGUGGUUACGGCAAGUCUUUUACUGAGGGAUAGGGUGAAACGGGACAAUUCAAAGCCGAUCGCCACAUUGUGGCGACACGCCAUUCGAAUUUCUGACCUAUCAACUUGAUGGUAGGGUAGUGGCCUACCAUGGUAAUAACGGGUAACGGGGAAUUAGGGCUCGAUUCCGGAGAGGGAGCCUGAGAAACGGCUACCACUUCCAAGGAAGGCAGCAGGCGCGUAAAUUACUCCCUGCCGACACGGCGAGGUAGUGACGACAAAUACCAAGGGCAGCCGCCUAUGGUGGCUGCCCAUUGGAAUGAGCAGAAUUUAAAACCCUCUGCAAGUAACAAUUGGAGGGCAAGUCUGGUGCCAGCAGCCGCGGUAAUUCCAGCUCCAAAAGUGUAUACUAAAGCUGUUGCGGUUAAAACGCUCGUAGUUGAAUUCCAACAUCCGGAACCAAGGCGUUGGAGUGGAUACUCAAGGUUAAUUAUUUAAUCACGCAAGUGAAUAAAUGAUCCCUUCCGAACCCCCACCGCACCGGAGAAGUUUGAAACCACAAUACUUUCCGUAUUUCCACAAGAGCUCUUAAUUGAGCACCUUGGAACAUAAGACACCUCGACCGACAAGGAAGAGGGGGAAUAUGGAGUCUUUGUUUACCUUGAAUAAACUAGAGUGAUUCAAGCAGGCGUUUCGCCAUUGAAUACAUUAGCAUGGGAUAAACAAUAAAAAAUGUCGGGGCCACAUCGAAACUGCACUUGGACAAAGUACAUUAAGAGGAGUACUCAAGUGGUAUUCUUGCUCAUAGCAUAUAAGAGCUUAAUAGUCUCAAUGGUUAGCUUGGCUAUCCAGGGGGGAUACAGACCUUUAUUAAUGUGGUCGCCGAGACCCAUUAUCAAAGGGUGUCCAUGCCGCAAGGUAUAUAUUAAGUUCUGCGACCGAGAAGAAUAAUAACUAAGUACUGAUAAAGACUCUUUGCGGAAAUUGAAGGGUGUAAGCCGGUCGUUUAACUCCGAUCGUCGGCUCUGUAUUAUAUAAUAAGCAAUUGUUAUAUAUUAUAAGUACCGGCGUUAACGCUCAAAUAGGGACAGCCGGGGUGGUUCAUACUUCCUUGUUAGGGGUGAAAUCCUAUGAUUAAGGAAAGAUGAACUAGUGCGAAAGCAUUCCACAAGGAUGUUUUCAUUGAUCAAGAACGAAAGUUGGGGGAUCGAAGACGAUCAGAUACCGUCGUAGUCUCAACCAUAAACGAUGCCGACCAGAGAUCGGAGGACGCUAUCCGAAAGGAUAAGCGGCUCCCCCGGCACCUUUGAGAGAAAUCAAAAGUGUCUAGGCUUCGGGGGGAGUACGGUCGCAAGGCUGAAACUUAAAGGAAUUGACGGAAGGGCACACCAGGAGUGGAGCCUGCGGCUUAAUUUGACUCAACACGGGGAAACUUACCAGGACCAGACAGUGGAAGGAUUGACAGAUUGAGAGCUCUUUCUAGAUUCGCUGGGUGGUGGUGCAUGGCCGUUCUUAGUUCGUGGUGUAAAUUGUCUGUGUCAAUUCCGCUAACGGACGAGACCUUAACCUGCUAAAUAAUGUUGGACAGAGGCAUUGUAAGAUGGAAGUUAGUAGCAAUACUAAUGAAAGGCUUACAAAACUCUAGUAAAAAAUCGUCCUCUCGACGGCUUAUGAUGCUCUCUUAAGCUUUCACCCGCAAGGAUGGGGGUUUGGGCGGAGAUAGUAAGUUGCAGGGACGAACCAACUUCUUAGAGGGACUAGUUGCUCCCUAGCGACUGGAAGAAUGAGGCAAUAACAGGUCUGUGAUGCCCUUCGAUGCCCUGGGCCGCACGCGCGCUACACUGAUUGAGAGAAUGAGUUUGAGUGCGCCUCUUGAACCGCCUGUGGUCGAAAGACUAUAGGAGGAUUAAGGGGAUAAGCACCUACCCUGGGUCGAAAGGCUACCUUGGGAAAUCUGAGAAAACUCAAUCGUGAUUGGGAUAGACCUUUGUAAUUAUUGGUCUUGAACGAGGAAUUCCUCGUAAGCGCGGGUCAUCAGCUCGCGUUGAUUACGUCCCUGCCCUUUGUACACACCGCCCGUCGCUCCUACCGAUUGGAUGAUCCGGUGAAGAUAACGGAUGUGCAUGGCAUCACUUUAAACGAAAGUUUAAUAAUGCCAACCAGAAGUUAUCUAAACCUUAUUAUCUAGAGGAAGGAGAAGUCGUAACAAGGUUUCC